rnacentral:lncRNA from 12 species
GUUGGAUUUAUUUUAUUCUCCAUUUUUUUAAAUAAAGAAUUAGCAGCAUGCUAUUUUAUUUUUUACUAAUGCAAACAAACUUUCACUAUUAUUGUAUUGCUGAUCUUAAGCAGGAAACACCUAUUGUGCAGCUCAGUUGAUACAUGUAAGCAAACAGUGCAUUGCAACACUAUCAAACAGAGACACUGUGCUGAGGAUGUUGCGCUCUCAGGUGUGAAUGAGUUUUUUUUUAAGCAUAUUUAGAUCCUCUACAUGUGAACCUGAUGCAUUGAACUCUAGGUGACAAAACCUAUGAAACGGGAUAGCCCUGGAUUAUUUUACCCCAAAAUUAUCCAAACAGGUGCCUCCGAUGAGCUCACCAAAUGAAUGUGCAUAACACAAACGACAUGGAGGAAACACAAAAGCCCAAUGCUCAUUUUCUUUCACCGAAAAUGUGUGGCUCCCCCAAAAAGUUUCUAGUUUCACUCACUCCUCUGGCAUUUACGAUUAAUUCAUUCCGCUUGCCCCCAGGUACAUGAAAAAACACUUUAAUAUUGUGCUGUUUUUUUCCCAUUUUUUAAAAAAAAAAUGUAUUUCAAAAGCCACUGCUGUCAAAAUGAUCUCUUAUUACCUAAAAAGCACUGUUAGUCAUAUUGGUAAAGGGGGGUUUAUUGGGGAUCACUGAAUAUGCAACCUCAGGGCUUGAAAGAGGAAUAUCAAAGUCAUGCGAUACGAUGCGGCAUUCGCUAAUUUCUGCAUCUGAAAACCGGAUAUUUGAGAUAGUCCUUUCAUGCAUCUGUAAUGACCGUGACAUGCUCGUAGAUGGAGACAGGAGAGGGAUGAAUCUCAGGGGAAACAGAGAGGUUACGGCACUGAGUUAUGGGAAUAUUGACAUGCGACGUGACAACCAUGUGCUAAAUAGACCCUCGUUUGGCCCACAGGGUGAGAGAGUCCCUUGGGAUGAGGGGAUGUGGAGACUGGGAACAAAGCGCUCAGGAACAGACAGAGCCGUCUAUAGAAUUCUGAGCGAGUGCCUUAGGAUGUGUGCAACAGGACCAAGUGUGGGAAAGUCCACGGAGGAGAUCCCUGCUCUCUUAAAACUCACUAUGCAGAGCACCAAUCACAGCACAGCACGCUGA